UUCUUGGGGUCCUUCGGGUGUUAACAGUGUCACUUUGUAUGCAGCCAUGGUGAGACGGCCAUUUCGUUGGGGUUUUAGCCCGAAAAGAGAUUGGUUGAAAGGAAGGGAGCUUAGGGUUUUCGGGGCCGGGUGGCCGCGGAGGAAAGAGGUGGUGGCUACGGCGGUGGAGAGGGAAGCUGUGGAGGCCAUUUUUUAAGUGGAAUUUUGAGGGUUUCAAUUCAAAGGCUAAACUGGCUAUGGCAGUGGUAGCUUUGCAAGGGGUG
rnacentral:lncRNA from 1 species